GGUCGGUUUCUGCUGUGAGACGGCGGUCGCUGUCGUCCGUAUCACAGCAGAAUUUGACAUUU
rnacentral:pre_miRNA from 1 species